rnacentral:lncRNA from 1 species
GGCCAUCAGAGAUUUCAAUGCACUGUCAAUCUACAAGAAGGGUAUAUGAUAUGCAGUUGUUUCACAAACACUGUAACAAAUGAUUUUGAAGAGGACAUCUUAGGAUACUCUGAGUUACUCCAACUUGGACAUUUCACAGCAGAGUAUCUUUUGCAAGUGGGUCAGAGAGAUACGCCAUGAGAAGCACUCAACUUGCAAUUGUUGAUUCUGAAGAUGGAAGAAGGGGGCCACGAGCCAUGGAAUGCAGCAGCCUCUAGAAGAGGAUGGCCCUAGGCUGACAGGAGCAAGAUAACAGGGACUUUGGUCUUACAACUGCGUGGAAUUGAAUUCAGCCAACAAUUCAAAUAAACUUCCAGAAAGAAACACAGCCUGCUGAUACCUUGACUUUAAUCUGGUGAGACCCAUAGUGGACAUCUGAUAUACAAAAUUGUAAGAUGAUAAUUACGUUUUUUUAAGCCAUUAAAUUUGUGGUGAUUUGUUUCUACAGCAGCCUAGAAAACUAAUAUGCAUAUAGUAGUGUGUAUGUGUGUGUGUGUGUCUGGCUUAUUGUACUUAAUAUAAUAUUUGCAAGAUUCCUAUCUGCUAUUAUUGAUUUUCAUUGUUGUAUAUUAUCCUUUUGUUCAAAUAUGCCAUAAUUUAUUUACCUAUUCUAUUGUUGAUGGACAUUUGGUUAUUCCCAGGUUUAGGCUAUUACAAACAAUGCUGCCAUGCACAUCCCUGUAUAUAUUUUUGUUGAACACAUGUACUCAUUACUAUUGGGUAUAUACCUAGGGAUAGAUCAUAGGGUAUAUGUUUGGCUCUGAUAGAUACUGACAAAAAAUCUUCCAAUGUGGUGGUUUACUUCCCAUGAGCAAUGUUUGAGACUCUCUACAUGUUCACAAACACUUGGUAUGAACAGUCUUUAAUUUUAGCCAUUCUGGGAGUACCACCAUUUCAUGUGAAUUGACCGUUUUACAUAUCCUCUUUUAAGAAAUGCCUGUUCAAGUCUUUUGUCCAUUAAAAAAAAAUGUUUUUUUUUUCUCAAAGACUUGUAGCUGCUCUUUACAUAUUCUGAAGAUAAAUUUCUUUUCCAGAUGUCUGGAUUACAAAUAUCUUUUCCUGUGCUCUGUCUUGCCCCAUUCUCUUCAUGGUGUCUUUAGAUGAACAGAGGUUUGUAUUUUAAUGUAGUUCAUCAAUAUUUUCCUUUGUGAUUAGUAUGCUUUGUGCCUGUUUAAUACUUAAUCUUUGCCUAUCACACACUUAGGAAGUUAUUUUUCAAUAUUAUCUUCUAGACUUUUAUUGUUUUACAUUUUAUAUUUUUAUCUAUAAUCCAUGUAGAAAGAUUUUUGUGUAUAGUGUGAGGUUGGGUCAAGAGCCAUUUUUAAAAAAGUUGGAUAUCCAAUUGAUGCAGUGUCAUUUACUAAAAAGAUCAUCCUUUUCCACUUCAGAGCAAUUUUACUUUUGUCAUAAAAUCAAGAGGUUGUAUGUGUGUGUUAUUGUUUCUGCACUCUAUAUUAUUCCAUUGGUCUACUUGUCUACACUUAUACCAAUUUCAUACUGCCUGUAAUUAUGUAACCUCAUAAUAAAUCCUAACAUCAUAUAAUGUAAAUUCUCUGACUUCAUUUUUCUGUGUUUUGCCUAUUGUUGGUCUUUUAUAUUUCCAUAUUAAUAUUAGAAUCACUUUGUCUAAUCUAUCACCAUCACCAACAAAUAAAUAAAAAAUAUCUUCUGAGAUGUUGAUAGGAAUUGCAGUGAAUCAAUAUAUCAGUUUGGGAGAAAUGAAAUCUUUGCCACAUUGCAUCUUCCUAUUCAUGAAUAAGGUAUACCCCACAUUUAUGCAUCUUCCUUUAAUAACAUUUGUGGCUUUUUUGUAUAGUGGUGCUCUUUUGUCAGUUCUAUUCCUAUGACUUUAAUGUUUUUCACUCCUACUGUCAAUGAUAUGUUUAGUUUUCUUAUUGUUUAGUAUUGUUAUAUGGAAAUACAACUGAUUACUUUGAUAUUAACCUUGUUAUUUAGUAAAAUUGCUAAAGUUACUUUUUAAUUAUAGCAGUCUAUCUAGUUAUUUUGAAUUUUAAACAUACAGAAUUAUGUUACCAGAAAAUAAGGAUCAUUUUAUUGUUUUCCUUCCAAUCAUCUUACUUUUUCUUGCACCUCCCCUUAAUAGCAGUAGUGAUAGAAGGGUAGAGUAGUGAUAGAAGGUGUCUCAUACCUGUUUCCAGGGAAAAAGCUUCCAAAAUUUCAUUACUAAGUAUGGUGUUUAGGCUGGCUCCCUGGCUCACACCUGUAAUCCCAGCACUUUGGGAGGAUCACUUGUGGCCAGGAGUUAGAACAGCCUGACCAACAUGGUGAAACUCCAUCUCUACUAAAAAUACAAAAAUUAGCCAAGCAUGGUGGUGCAUGGCUAUAGUCCCAGGUACUCAGGAGGCUAAAGCAUGAAAAUCACUUGACUAGGGGAGGCAGAGGUUGCAGUGAGCCAAGAUCUUGGCACUACAUUCCAGACUGUGUGAUGGAGUGAGACUCU